AAAGAACAUCUUGGAAGGAAUUUCCGCGUCUCCUUCAGUGGUAGACGGACGGAUUCUUCUUCUGCAGCAGCUGCAUUCUAAAAGAAACCAUUACAAAAAAUAAGGAAAAAUUAAUUUUACAAACUAUGUCAUAUGUUUUCUUUGUUUCCUCAAUAUAACUCUGAUUAGAAUGUCAAACAAAGAUAAAAUCAUCCGUAUUAAUCGUCAGUAUCGUGUAUAUUAUUAAUAUGAGCGUCUUUGCGUUACAUUCGUGCUUCACCAUGCACUUAUAUCGACGUCGCAAUGCAAAAGAAGAAGGGCAAGAAAGAAACCUGUCCUGGUCUGGCGAUUUAAGGGAACAUCUGUUUAAGCCUGUCUAGAUCUUUUAUCAGUCUAGAAAGAUGUUGGAGAAAAGACAUCAUCCUCUUCUAUAAUCUCCAUCUGUAAUUGGACUAACUGGACCAGUGAAUGCAGGCAACUUACUCUCCAUUCGACCUUGCAGGUCACACCAUGGUCUCAAGAGGGAAAAUGAGUGCUCUAUGGAUUGAACAGAAAAGGAGAAUCAAAACUCCAACCAUCUGUAUGAGGGUCUGGAUGGAUAAAGGAUGCCCACUGGAGCUGGAAAUGAUGGAUCAGGUGGAUCCACACUUGAACCAUCUGUAUGAUGAUCUGCACCCACUGGAUCUGUAAAUGGUGGUGCAGGUUUCUGAAUUGAUGUCAGAUGCAAAGCAGAAGUUUAUUUUCUUCCAGUUUGGCUUCAUUGUGGAAAAAUGCUGGAAACUAAAAUGCAGAACAUGAUGCACGAUGGGAUGCACAAAGUGAUAUUUGGACGCAGCCUCAGUCUGUCAGAUCAAAGAGACAUACAGAAUUCAUAGAGCAGUGGGACUCCAUGAACAGAGUUGAGAACCACUGGUGUAACUCAUUAUGCUUACCUGACUCAUGCAGAAUUCUGGCCUGGUGUUUGGUCCACCCUUUCUCUGGCUUGUGUCUCCGUCUCCAUCAUCAUUAUACUCUUGUCAGUGUUAUAGUAUUGUCGUCUGCGUACCAGGACUUUGUUUCUCAGCUGUCCCUUCUCCUUCAAGCUACAUUUUUGUCAAGCUGCAACAAGUUGGAAUACAUAAUUAUUAACGUUUAAGGAUUUUGAUGUAUGAAAUAUGUAACAAAAGCAAAAAAUGUACAGACAUUCUAUUAAGAAAUUACCUUUUUGUUGUUUGUUUACUGACCUUUCAACCAUAUUGCAUUUAAAAUUGAUCAUCAUACCUUUGGUCUACUGUUAACAGACUACUGUAGAAAACUUUGAAUAAAGUAAAAAAAAAGAGAAAAAAUUAUAAAUGCUGAAUGUGUCUCAUCUUAAAUACAUUGUUGUUGUUUUUUUCAUUGAAUUUGGAUGUUUUGAUGAUUUAAGGAAAAUUUACGUAGCAUAUAUAUUGAUGUUUUAAUUCAGAGUUUGUUAAUGACACUUAAUCAUUAACAAACAUUUAAAAAGGUUUAUUACAAUACUAAUUGAUAAUAUUAAAUUAAUGUAAUAAUCUUGUUUUGUUACACCCUAAAUCACUGAGCGCACAAACGCUACCCCAGUUACAAGCAUGGAUGGUUGACUUCAUGCAGACAUGCGCAGACAUCGAAGUACCGCGAGAGUGAUUCAAAAGCCCACGAAACAGUGUAAUCACGCGGUACUGUGACGUCAUACUGGUUAACGCUAAGCCACGUGAAGCGCCCGGACACAAGGGCUGCACUAAUCUUUGGGCUGGAGUAGCCUGUGGCUUACGUGUCUCGCCGCAGAACGAUUUAUUUAUCUUUUUCACCUCGAUCUUUGGCCUCUUGUGAUUUAACAAAACCAACAUGUGAAGUUACAACGCUGACGAAGGAGUUUAAUCAGUAACGUUAGAGUGUGUCCUGGUAAACGUGUGCUUGGAAACAUGCAGAUUACAGUAUUUACAGAGCCGACCUUGAGGCUAUUUUUUUGCAUGACAUCCACUGAUGGAUAAUCUGUUUACCUAAAAACAGCACUUCAGGAGAAACCUGCCUGUGAUCUGCUAAGAUGCACAGAUUCAACUCUGGCCCAUUGUCAUCCCAACACCUUAUCUGCCAUCAGUUUCGUUUAGUGUCGAUCUAUUGCAAAAGUUCUUAUAAACUUUAAAUGAGACUUUGUGUUAAGCAGGGGUUUCCAAACUUUUAAUUUCACAACAUAUUAAGCCCAGGAUACACAGCAGGAUUUUUUGCAAUCCAAUAGACCUUAUCACACUGUGUGACAAGAAUUGUUUAAACUUUAGCAGUAGACUGUCGAUGAAGACACCUAUUGCAUCUGAGGCUGCGACAUCCGUCAUCAGCAUGCGCUAGUGGUAAACAAAUACAGGUAUGCAGGUCGUAGAAGCAAACACGUUGUUGAUGUGCGUUGAUCAUGCUGAACUUCUUACACUGUCAUAAAACUAUCGUAGGUGUCUUUGGUCCCAGGACUGGGAAAAGAGGUCUUUAAACCUCUCACACUGUAUGAGAUAGGACCACCAAUUAAGAGCCACGAUCACAGAAAUCUCCACGAUUGUUUCACGAUUGGUAAUCUUUCAUCUGGGACAGCCAAAAAUCGUGCCGUGUAUUAUGGGCUUUAGACAUGUGUAAUCUUAUAGUAUAUCAAAACCAUUGCUAAUAAUUAAUUGGACAAACCAUCACUACAAUGCAACACUCGCUAUCUUACGGUGCGACCCACAAGUGGGUCUUCACCCACAGCUUAAAAACCCUGAGUAUGAGUAAGAGUAUGUUGUAUUGUAAUUAAAGUCACAUCUAAGUGUUAUGGAGCAGUUUGUCGUUAUAUUCACAGUAUUACAUGGUUCUUUCAGCAGUUUCUACGUUACAAUGCUCUUAAAGUGUCCUGAUCAGCUUUGGGUCUUGUGAAGUAAUGUAAUGAGAAUGUGAUCAAUAGCUUUGCAGUAUUUUUGGUUAAACAUUUUAUUCAAAUUUGGUAAACAAUCUAGUCAAUAUAAUUCAUGCUGUGAUGCUGGAUUAAACCUGGUCAAAUGAA